UACGAAGGGGGCUAGCGUUGCUCGGAAUCACUGGGCGUAAAGCGCACGUAGGCGGAUUUUUAAGUCAGGGGUGAAAUCCUGGAGCUCAACUCCAGAACUGCCUUUGAUACUGGGAAUCUCGAGUCCGGAAGAGGUGAGUGGAACUGCGAGUGUAGAGGUGAAAUUCGUAGAUAUUCGCAAGAACACCAGUGGCGAAGGCGGCUCACUGGUCCGGUACUGACGCUGAGGUGCGAAAGCCAGGGGAGCAAACGGG
rnacentral:rRNA from 1 species